rnacentral:rRNA from 1 species
GUCCACGCCGUAAACGUUGGGCACUAGGUGUGGGUUUCAACCAACGAAAUCCGCGCCGUCGCUAACGCAUUAAGUGCCCCGCCUGGGGAGUACGGCCGCAAGGUUAAAACUCAAAGGAAUUGACGGGGGCCCGCACAAGCAGCGGAGCGUGUUGCUUAAUUCGAUGCAACGCGAAGAACCUUACCUGGGCUUGACAUGUACGGAAAAGCCGUAGAGAUACGGUGUCCUUCGGGGCCGUACACAGGUGGUGCAUGGCUGUCGU